UGACAUGUCCAGUAUGGUCACCAGAGAUGGAGACCUUCAGUUCGGCUGGCUGGAACACAGGUGCUGCAUGGCUGUCGUCAGCUCGUGUCGUGAGAUGUUGGGUUAAGUCCCGCAACGAGCGCAACCCUCGCUUCUAGUUGCCAGCAUUCAGUUGGGCACUCUAGAGGGACCGCCGGUGAUAAGCCGGAGGAAGGUGGGGAUGACGUCAAGUCCUCAUGGCCCUUACGGGUAGGGCUACACACGUGCUACAAUGGCGGUGACCAGUGGGCAGCGACACAGCGAUGUGAUGCUAAUCCCAAAAAGCCGUCUCAGUUCAGAUUGCAGCCUGCAACUCGGCUGCAUGAAGUUGGAAUCGCUAGUAAUCGCUAAUCAGCAGGUAGCGGUGAAUACGUUCCCGGGCCUUGUACACACCGCCCGUCACACCAUGGGAGUUGGUCAUACCUGAAGACGGUGUUCUAACCCGCAAGGGAGGAAGCCGGCCACGGUGUGGUCAGCGACUGGGGGAAGUCGWACAAGGAUAC
rnacentral:rRNA from 1 species